CUCAAACUCCAUCGUCUGGCCAAUAAAUAAAACAAGAUCCAACCAUAACAAGGUUAACAAAACAUUCCUUCAAAAACUCUGCAAUCUCUUUAAGAGGCUAUGUUACAUUUCAAGCUAGUCUUGCUCUGUAGUAUGUUAAAGCCUAGUCCUAUCUACCACAUUUCAAGAUAGUAAUUUUCUGCGUCUGUUAAAGCCUAGUCCUAUCCACCUUCAUUUAGCAGGGAAAGAACUCCUGAAUGAGCUGAAGAAAUCGAUGGGGUUCAAAGGUGAAACUAAUGAAGCUAUUUUCUCAUAUGCAAGACUGCAGACACAGGUCAGUAACACACGAGCCCUGUCAGCUUAAUUCAUGGCCUUGUUCUAACCAAACCAAUGCACCAACAUAACCUAUAAACCAAGACUACAUAGCAUUUCUCACUUCAGAUAUAACUUUCCACUUUCCAGCACUAUGUCUUGGUGUAACUUAGGCAGCUAUCAAAUUCUCACACAUCCGGCGCAAUGCUCUAUUGUUCAUGUCAUUAGAAGCAUCAAAAUCUAUUUCCUCUAAAGAGAUUAGUUUGACUAAGUUAAGA